rnacentral:piRNA from 1 species
UGAGGUGUGACAUAUGGGAUGCAAAGUU